rnacentral:lncRNA from 1 species
GAGGGCAGGCUUGCUGAACAGCAGUGAGCAGGGGUGCUAACCGAUCGCCCGUCUUCUAGGCUUCGAUUACUACUUUGGUAUCCCGUAUAGCAACGACAUGGGCUGUACCGACAACCCCGGCUACAACUACCCUCCUUGCCCAGCAUGUCCGCAAAGCGAUGGCCGAUGGAGGAACCCUGACAGGGACUGUUACACAGAUGUGGCCCUUCCUCUCUAUGAAAACCUGAACAUCGUAGAGCAGCCGGUGAACCUGAGCGGCCUUGCACAGAAGUAUGCAGAGAGGGCAGUGGAGUUCAUUGAGCAGGCAAGCACCAGUGGGAGACCCUUCCUGCUCUAUGUGGGCCUGGCCCACAUGCACGUGCCUUUGUCUGUAACUCCACCGUUG